rnacentral:lncRNA from 1 species
CUUUUACUCGUGGCGUUUCUCUACAAAAGAAUCCUAUUAUUAUUAUUAAAAUCCUAUUGAUCUAGCAGUGCCAUAACUUGGGAUCAUAACACCAAACAUAGGAAAUAUAAACACAACAUGAGAUGGAGGCCAUGGAUUUGCAGUACAUUAUUAAAAUCCUUUUGAAAGUUGCACUACCUAGCAGACGUAGCCAAGAAAGAGGAUGAGGAUUUUAAUGUCUCUCUGUUACCCAAAUAUGGAUGCUCAUCCUUGUACAUUUUUUAUACUCAUUAAAUUGUUUGAACGGGCAGCUCCAAGUUUCAGUUUUGCCUAUAGUUAUUAUUUUUUUCACAAACGUGUAUGCCAUCUUCUCUUUGGUCUGAGCUGGCAGCAAGUGGAAUUUUUCUUUUCAAGGUCUUUUUGUCGUCUGCCAUCGUCGUCGCAAGAUUGGUUAGAACUUUGCUUGCUUAACAGUUUCUGAAUUGAGUUUUGUUGAUAUGAAACCAUGGUUUUGAUGAUAAACAUUUUUAUAUUGGCGUUUCCAAAAGUUUAUAUCAUGAUGUACUGCAUUGUUUCAAAAUCUGCUCUUCUUUUGUAUUAAACUAAUAUCAGCACCAGUCGGCUCCUCCUAUCCAACUCCCCUUUCAUUAGCAUUUCCCUCACCUACACUUAUUGUGUAUUUACAGCUUCAUACCAGACUUCUCAAGGAACACAGGGUGAGGAUGACCCUACUAAUACAACUGUGAGUAAUUUUAUUCACAAUAAUUUUGUAUGCUUUCUUUAUCUAAAUAAUUAAGUACUAAUUUAUUUCUUGAUUGCAGAUAUUUGUUGGUAAUUUGGACUCUAAUAUCACAGAUGAGCAUCUGAGGCAGAUUUUUGGCCAAUAUGGACAGUUACUUCAUGUAAAAAUACCAGCAGGAAAACGAUGUGGAUUUGUUCAAUUUGCUGGACAUUACCAUUGUUACCUUCUCAUCACACACUUAAUUUAAACACCAAGAAAUCAGUAUGAAGGAUUUAUCAUGUUCUCUGCAUCUGCUAUAACAGAAGCUGUGCUGAGGAAGCUUUACGAAUGUUAAAUGGAACCCAGUUGGGGGGACAAAGCAUUAGACUCUCAUGGGGCCGUAGUCCUUCAAACAAACAGGUACAAAUAAUCUCAUUUUUCGAUUUUCGAUUUUUCCUAUUUUUAGAACAGGUUUAUUAGUUCUCACUAAUGGUGAUUGUAACCAUAGUCAUCUAUUCAAAUUUUCGAGCUCAGGUUGAUCAAAUCCAGUCCAAUGCUGGAUAUUAUGGAUAUGCCCCUGGAUAUGAAACCUAUGGAUAUGCUCAAGCAGCUCAGGAUCCAAAUUUGUACUACGGAGGUUACCAAGGAUAUGGAAACUACCCACCGCCCCCUCAACAACCACCUCAGGUAGAUAUGCCUAUAGAUUUGAUGGGAAAACCCUUUUUACCUGAAAAUCAUUAUUAACAUACUUUGCAUGGGAGGGAGGACUAGUUGAACACUGUACAUUUACAUUUAUGCAAUGCUGAUUAUUGACUAGUUUUCCCAUUUCUUGUUCUUUUUACUUCAUCUUUCAUCAUUAGGAUCAACAGUGGUUUGUUGACACUCCUUCAUAUCAGCUUCAUUGGUACAGAAAUAUGGGUUUGCUCUAUCUUGUGUAUGAGGAGCAAAAAUAGUGGGAUAUUGAUAUAUGUUUUUGUAUUUUGUACGAUGUUAUUGAAACUGGCGAGAAAGUGCCUCUAUCAGCAAGAAGUUAGCUUCUUCACCAUGUCAGAUGCGUAUGUAUGUAUGUGUAUCCAAACACUAGAGAGCAUUGUUCAUUGUCUUUUACUCGUGGCGUUUCUCUACAAAAGAAUCCUAUUAUUAUUAUUAAAAUCCUAUUGAUCUAGCAGUGCCAUAACUUGGGAUCAUAACACCAAACAUAGGAAAUAUAAACACAACAUGAGAUGGAGGCCAUGGAUUUGCAGUACAUUAUUAAAAUCCUUUUGAAAGUUGCACUACCUAGCAGACGUAGCCAAGAAAGAGGAUGAGGAUUUUAAUGUCUCUCUGUUACCCAAAUAUGGAUGCUCAUCCUUGUACAUUUUUUAUACUCAUUAAAUUGUUUGAACGGGCAGCUCCAAGUUUCAGUUUUGCCUAUAGUUAUUAUUUUUUUCACAAACGUGUAUGCAAUCUUCUCUUUGGUCUGAGCUGGCAGCAAGUGGAAUUUUUCUUUUCAAGGUCUUUUUGUCGUCUGCCAUCGUCGUCGCAAGAUUGGUUAGAACUUUGCUUGCUUAACAGUUUCUGAAUUGAGUUUUGUUGAUAUGAAACCAUGGUUUUGAUGAUAAACAUUUUUAUAUUGGCGUUUCCAAAAGUUUAUAUCAUGAUGUACUGCAUUGUUUCAAAAUCUGCUCUUCUUUUGUAUUAAACUAAUAUCAGCACCAGUCGGCUCCUCCUAUCCAACUCCCCUUUCAUUAGCAUUUCCCUCACCUACACUUAUUGUGUAUUUACAGCUUCAUACCAGACUUCUCAAGGAACACAGGGUGAGGAUGACCCUACUAAUACAACU